GGAUAAAAAUAAACCCACACUGAGACAUUGUUGUGAAAUUUCAAAACACUGCAGACAAAGAGCUUCCACAGAGGACAAAAAGCAGGUUACAUACAAAGGAUAAAGAAUCAGAAUGGCAUCAGGUGUCUGAACAGCAACACUGGAAGCCAGAAGGCAAUGGAACAGUGCCUUCAAAAUCCUGAGGGUGAAGAAGUUCACAUAAGCCACCUGUGGUCAAGGUUUCUUCCACACUGAGAUAUUUCAAACAGACUGUGGUCAAAAAAAGUUGGAAAAACCUACUCUAAAAUCUUGCUAUUCAAAGUGUCAACCAGCAGCUUUGCAACAUCUGGGAACUCCUUAGAAAUGUGACUCUCAGGCUCCACCCUAGACCAGGCUCAAGUCAGAAUCUACAUUUUAACAGGAUCCCCAGGUGACUCUCAUUUGCACCUUGGAGGUCAAGAAGCCCUGUUCUGGGGCUGGCCAUUUUCUGCCUAAUGACACCUGCUACUGAGAGGGCUACUCUCAGGUUUGGGGGAGAGGAGAUGUGAGAGUAGUUUGAAAAUGAUGCUCC